CGGACGGGUGAGUAAUGCCUAGGAAUCUGCCUGGUAGUGGGGGACAACGUUUCGAAAGGAAUGCUAAUACCGCAUACGUCCUACGGGAGAAAGCAGGGGACCUUCGGGCCUUGCGCUAUCAGAUGAGCCUAGGUCGGAUUAGCUAGUUGGUGAGGUAAUGGCUCACCAAGGCGACGAUCCGUAACUGGUCUGAGAGGAUGAUCAGUCACACUGGAACUGAGACACGGUCCAGACUCCUACGGGAGGCAGCAGCA
rnacentral:rRNA from 1 species